rnacentral:rRNA from 1 species
UUUGAUGGCGACCGGCGCACGGUGAGUAACACGUAUCCAACCUGCCGAUGACUCGGGGAUAGCCUUUCGAAAGAAAGAUUAAUACCCGAUGGCAUAGUUCUUCCGCAUGGUAGAACUAUUAAAGAAUUUCGGUCAUCGAUGGGGAUGCGUUCCAUUAGGUUGUUGGCGGGGUAACGGCCCACCAAGCCUUCGAUGGAUAGGGGUUCUGAGAGGAAGGUCCCCCACAUUGGAACUGAGACACGGUCCAA